rnacentral:misc_RNA from 1 species
ACCAAACUCAAUGUACCAUUGCCCCGACCCCGGUCCAGUCCAGUCGUUGUCUAAUUUUCCUUUACACUCAUUUUUUCCAGCUCGUUCGCUCGUGCCGAAACGGUGUGCCCCCGUGCGUAGCUUACCCGCUCUGUCGUCGGUACACGCUACAUACGCGCACAUGCACAUGCACUCCAUCCUGCGCCGUCCGUGUUUGACCGUAAACCCUCCCCACCCGUCCACUCAUUUUGUACAUAGAACGUCUGGCGCGACGCGUCGGCGUUCAAUCCCACGUUCCUUUGCUUAGAUCUUCCUCUCGCUCUUUAUUCGCUAGUUUAUACCCUCUCCCAAUGGGCCGGAAGCCUUGCGGGUCAAGGGCGCGUCGUGUACGUCGUGAACGUAGUAAUAGGUACCCUACGCUGUCUGUGUCGGACACGGAAUACACAGGCCUUGUAGUUAC